AAGACACCCACUUAAGUUCUACAGGUAAUCCUACUAAGUAGCAUAAUCCUUAACUAGCAAAAGCAUCACCGGCUCUGGCUAGAUUUUUGCAAACAUAAUGCUAACUUGAUUUUUGCAGUCAAUUUUGUUGCGACCCACACGAGAUAAACCAAAACGCCCUCAGAGUCUCAUAUCUCGGUGUCAAAGAUGAUAAUAUCUAAAAGCUUAGUUCACUCUUCCACGACAUUAACUAGCUCAUACUCGACAAGAGACAAGUUGU
rnacentral:misc_RNA from 1 species